CCUUUCUGUCCCUCAUCGUCUCCAACUCAAAGACAUGAAAACCCUAAAUGCGGCCUGCAAAUCUCAGCCAUUCCCACUGGCGUCUGAGCUCCAAACCCCAUCAAAAUUCGACCAUACAACCUCCUUUGCCUCCCCACCCUAUUCCAAAUCCACCAUCGAUUUCCUCCCAAAAUUACCCAAUCCCCUCGAAUUUCAAAUCUCAGAAGGCAGAAGAUUCAAUGUGUUCUCCCUUCUCUGAUUUUUCCUUCAUGUGUUUUUUCCUUGAUAAUAUCACGCAUGAAUCAACUGGCUAUUUGUUUAGUUUCAAGGCAUUUCAUGGCAGCCAACUUUUGGUCAAGCAACCCACGUUCCAAGCUUCUGCUUCAUCUUACUUCUAGGCAGAUGUUGAAGGUUGUGAUAUGGAGCACUAACCGUUGAAGAAAUUCCAGUUAGUGCUCAUGUUACAAUUCUCGCCAUUCACCAAAACCCCUUACCAGUCAUCAAUUUCCCCGAGUCGUCAAUCCCUUUAGUAGACCCUGGUACACCUCUCGAAUUCUGAAAAAUGUAAAAGUGGCUUGUUGGAUUUGAAGAAUGAAGAUCCGCAGAUUUAUUUUUACUUAAUGCUUUCUUUUGUCUUUUCAUGUGACUUGUUAGUUUAUUUCUUUUGUCUCAACAUACUAAAAACUGAUGUCAUACCAUGGACAUUAUAACUUGUAUUGGGAUUAUAUUUGGACUUUUGUUU